GACGAACGCUGGCGGCGUGCUUAACACAUGCAAGUCGAACGGAAAGGCCCUGCUUUUGUGGGGUGCUCGAGUGGCGAACGGGUGAGUAACACGUGAGUAACCUGCUCUUGACUUUCGGAUAACUUCAGGAAACUGGGGUUAAUACCGGAUAGCAGCUCCUGCUGCAUGGUGGGGGUUGGAAAGUUUCGGCGGUUGGGGAUGGACUCGCGGCUUAUCAGCUUGUUGGUGGGGUAGUGGCUUACCAAGGCUUUGACGGGUAGCCGGCCUGAGAGGGUGACCGGCCACAGUGGGACAGGGAUACGGCCCGGACGCCUACGGGAGGCAGGAGUGGGGGAUAUUGCACAAUGGGCGGAAGCCUGAUGCAGCAACGCCGCGUGCGGGAUGACGGCCUUCGGGUUGUAAACCGCUUUCGCCUGUGACGAGGCGUGAGUGACGGUAAUGGGGAAAGAAGCACCGGCUAAUUACGU
rnacentral:rRNA from 1 species